rnacentral:lncRNA from 1 species
GUCACAUGCAUGCUAUUACAACGUAUAUUAGGUCAAAAACAGAUGAAAAAUGCUCCAUUGUUAUCCUAGAGAUCUCAAUUUGGGGGAGAAAUCAAGCUCUAUAAUACCUUCCAACUGUGGGAGUGAGCUAUGACUUAUCAAAUAAAAAAGCAACAAAGCAUUGCCAUCCAUAGCGAAGAGAAAAUUUAAGAUAUGGAGAAAAUCAAAAGAGAGAGAGAGAGAGAGAGAGUAGGCCCAACACUACACUAUAGGGACAUUUCUUGGCUAGUAUUGUCGGGCCGAGAAAGCUAGGCAUAGUACUAGCUGUGGUGGUUAGUGGAAGGAUUAGAUGG